rnacentral:misc_RNA from 1 species
AAGUCGUAACAAGGUUUCCGUAGGUGAACCUGCGGAAGGAUCAUUAACAAAUCAUUGAGCGCAAGCUCAUCAACCUUUGUGAAUAGGCUUGCGCAAGCAAGUUAGAUGGGACGAGGGAGGCGGUGGUUAGGUGUGUUUAGGCUAGGUUAGGCUAGGUGCUGAAGCAAUUUAGUCUUACCUUACCUAUUCACGUUAGCUUAGCGCCGCUACAUUAAUAUUGUCUGAUUACAUUUGGAGGUCGAAAGAUUUCUAAUAAUAAUACAACUUUUAACAAUGGAUCUCUUGGCUCUU